rnacentral:rRNA from 1 species
UACGUUAGGGGACCCAAGCGUUUGUUCGGAUUUACUGGGCGUAAAGGGCGCGUAGGCGGCGUGACAAGUCACUUGUGAAAUCUCUGAGCUUAACUCAGAACGGCCAAGUGAAACUGUUGUGCUAGAGUGCAGAAGGGGCAAUCGGAAUUCUUGGUGUAGCGGUGAAAUGCGUAGAUAUCAAGAGGAACACCUGAGGUGAAGACGGGGUUGCUGGGCUGACACUGA